AGCGAACGCUGGCGGCAGGCCUAACACAUGCAAGUCGAACGAACCCUUCGGGGUUAGUGGCGCACGGGUGCGUAACGCGUGGGAACCUGCCCUUAGGUUCGGAAUAACUCAGAGAAAUUUGAGCUAAUACCGGAUAAUGUCUUCGGACCAAAGAUUUAUCGCCUUUGGAUGGGCCCGCGUAGGAUUAGCUUGUUGGUGGGGUAAUGGCCUACCAAGGCGACGAUCCUUAGCUGGUCUGAGAGGAUGAUCAGCCACACUGGGACUGAGACACGGCCCAGACUCCUACGGGAGGCAGCAGUGGGGAAUAUUGGACAAUGGGCGAAAGCCUGAUCCAGCAAUGCCGCGUGAGUGAUGAAGGCCUUAGGGUUGUAAAGCUCUUUUACCAGGGAUGAUAAUGACAGUACCUGGAGAAUAAGCUCCGGCUAACUCCGUGCCAGCAGCCGCCGUAAAAC
rnacentral:rRNA from 1 species